rnacentral:rRNA from 1 species
ACCCGCUGAAUUUAAGCAAAAAAGUGAGUGGAGGAUCAUAAACUAAACACGUUUUCCUUAGUAAUGGCGAAUGAACAGGAACUGGUGCACCAUGGAAAACAGAGCUGCUUGCUCUGGCUUGCAAUCGCAAGAUGUACUAGCAACCAACGUGCAUGUGUAGGCCUUGUGGAAAAGAGCAUACACACAGGUGAGAACCCCUUGUUCCGCGUGCAAUCCCCUGGUGCAUGGUAUACAUUCUCAGAGUCGUGCUUCUUGGGCAUGCAGCGCGAAACGGGUGGCAGGCUUCAUCUAACACUUCGCAUCGGCUUGAGACCGAUAGCAAACAAGUACUAUGAAGGGAAGGUGAACAAGGACUUUGGCAAGAAAGUUAAAUGUGCUUGAAAUGCUUCCACCCGGCCCGUCUUGAAACACGGACCAAGGAGUCUAACACACAUGCGAGUCCGUGCGUGCGGAAACCUGUGUGCAAAAUGAAAGUGUUUGCUUGGAUGUCUGCACAGGCAACUGACCGAUCAAUUGAGUGAGGUUUGAGUGUGGGCAUGUUUAUUAGGCCCCGAAAGAUGGUGAACUAUGCCUGUGCAGGGCAAUUCCAGAGGAAACUCUGAUGGAGGCCUGCAGCGAUACUGACGUGCAAAUCGUUCGUCGCACAUGGGUAUAGGGACGAAAGACUAAUCGAACCAUCUAGUAGCUGGUCCCGUCCGAAGUUUCCCUCAGGAUAGCUGGAGUUGAACAGUUUCACCAGGUAAAGCAAUGGUUGGAGGACUUAGGGGCGCGCCGUCCUUGGCCUACUCUCAAACUUUAAAUGGGUGAGUACCAGUGACUACUUGGGUGAGCUUCUGGGCUGCAUGGCGACUCCAAGUGGACCAUUUUUGGUAAGCAGAACUGGUGAUGGGGGAUGAACCUAACGUUUGGUUAAGGCGCUUAAUUGCUCGCUCAUCAGAUACCAUAAAGGGUGUUGGUUCAUUUUAACAGCAGGGCAGUGGUCAUGGAAGUCGAACUCUGCUAAGGAGUGUGUAACAACUCACCUGCCGAAUGGACUAGCUCAGAAAAUGGAUGGCGCUCAAGCGGGUGGCCGAAAUCAAACCACCUUUGCAACAAUGCUGCACUGAUGAGUAGGAUGGUGCGGGGGCGAAUGGUGAAACUUCUGGUGAAAAACUAUGUGAAAACAUCUCUGGUGCAGAUCUUGGUGGUAGUAGC